UUCUAUAACUUGCGAUAUCUCCUCUCUACAGCUCUGCUAAGAACUAAAAAUGGUAGAUCUAAAAAUUGGAUCUCGGAUUGAGAGAGAGAGAGAGAGAGAGAGAGAGAGAGAGAGAGAGAGAUUGUAGCCAUGGGGCUCUACUGCUGCUUCUCGCCUAUUUUUUCGGAGUAAAUAGCAAGCAUUUUCAGGCAUGUCUUCGUAUAUUCUUCGACUUGGAACAUUACAUCAACAUGUUUUUGCUACAUUCAGUUUUGAAUUCUCUUCAAGAUUUUGCUGACUAGGUGAGUUUCAGCGCGCUUCUGGAUUUGAAUAUGCUUUCUCCAAGAAGUACUACAUUAAACCUGUUUUUGAGCAUCCAUUCCAGUAUGAGAGCUACAUGAGGCAAAAAAAUGAACAGAUCAAUCAAAAUUUGCCAACAUGUCUUUGCUUUUUAUUGCCUUUAUACAAGAAAAGUUUACCCAUUGUACUCAACUAUUGCCUAGAGGUUGCAUUCCAAUUAACUUGUAAAUUCAGAUGUAACGUUCUUUUCUUUGAUGAAUUUGUAUUAUUGGAUGCCGAUUUUUUCUAUUUACACCCGUAAGUUGACAA